rnacentral:rRNA from 1 species
UAGGGAAUCUUCCACAAUGGACGAAAGUCUGAUGGAGCAACGCCGCGUGAGUGAUGAAGGGUUUCGGCUCGUAAAACUCUGUUGUUGGAGAAGAACGGGUGUCAGAGUAACUGUUGACAUCGUGACGGUAUCCAACCAGAAAGCCACGGCUAACUACGUGCCAGCAGCCGCGGUAAUACGUAGGUGGCAAGCGUUGUCCGGAUUUAUUGGGCGUAAAGCGAGCGCAGGCGGUUUUUAGGUCUGAUGUGAAAGCCUUCGGCUUAACCGGAGAAGUGCAUCGGAAACCGGGAGACUUGAGUGCAGAAGAGGACAGUGGAACUCCAUGUGUAGCGGUGAAAUGCGUAGAUAUAUGGAAGAACACCAGUGGCGAAGGCGGCUGUCUGGUCUGCAACUGACGCUGAGGCUCGAAAGCAUGGGUAGCGAACAGGAUUAGAUACCCUGGUAGUCCAUGCCGUAAAACGAUGAGUGCUAAGUGUUGGAGGGUUUCCGCCCUUCAGUGCUGCAGCUAACGCAUUAAGCACUCCGCCUGGGGGAGUACGACCGCAAGGUUGAAAC